GCCUUAUUAGUCUAGUGGUUUAUGACAUUGCCUUUUCAUGGCAGGAGGACGGGUUCAAUUCCCGUAUAAGGUA
rnacentral:tRNA from 1 species